GGGACGAUAAGGAACAAUAUAGAAAACAUGAGUGAAACGGAAGUAGAGAGAGCAGAGAACGGAAGUGAGACAAGAAGCAUACUUUGAGGAAUAAUAAU